GGUGAACGCUGGCGGCGUGCUUAAGACAUGCAAGUCGAACGGCAGUCUUCGGACUGUAGUGGCGCACGGGUGAGUAACGCGUAACUGACCUACCCCAAAGUCGCGGAUAACGAUUCGAAAGAAUCGCUAAUACGUGAUGUGCUGUCGGAUUGUGUUCUGCCAGUAAAGAUUGAUUGCUUUGGGAUGGGGUUGCGUUCCAUCAGCUAGUUGGUGGGGUAAAGGCCCACCAAGGCGACGACGGAUAGCCGGCCUGAGAGGGUGGCCGGCCACAGGGGAACUGAGACACGGGUCCCACUCAUACGGGAGGCAGCAGUUAGGAAUCUUCCACAAUGGGCGAAAGCCUGAUGGAGCGACGCCGCGUGAGGGAUGAAGGUCUUCGGAUCGUAAACCUCUGAAUCAGGGACGAAAGACACUUCGGUGGGAUGACGGUACCUGAGUAAUAGCACCGGCUAACUCCGUGCCAGCCGCCGCGGUAACAC
rnacentral:rRNA from 1 species